UACGGAGGGUGCGAGCGUUGUCCGGAAUCACUGGGCGUAAAGGGCGCGUAGGCGGCCUGGUAAGUAGGGGGUGAAAUCCUGCGGCUUAACCGCAGGGCUGCCUUCUAAACUGUCAGGCUCGAGCACGGUAGAGGCAGAUGGAAUUCCUGGUGUAGCGGUGGAAUGCGCAGAUAUCAGGAGGAACACCGGUGGCGAAGGCGGGAUCCUGGGCCAGUACUGACGCUGAGGAGCGAAAGCGUGGGGAGCAAACAGG
rnacentral:rRNA from 1 species